AGAAAAAAAAAACUGGUCAAGUCGUCUUCCUCCUCUGCCUCCGGCUACCCCUCCGUCUCCAAUCUGCAGAGCCGGCGGAGGCAGGCCGGCGACGGCGAGAGGGCGGUCUCAGUAUCCUUCCCGACCCCGCGCGGCGGCGCCGUCAUCGCGCGCACGGCAGGCGAGCAGGUGCUGGAGGGUGGACGCGUCCGGCCGGGCUCCUUUGGCCUACGUCCCUCUCUCCCUCCCUUCUCGGUUCAAACCGUAGCGGAAGGUAUCCGUUCUCCUCGCGCAGCCCCUCCUUCCUACCCCUCCGCUGAGCCGUGCUUGGAUUGGGAAUCUGUCCGCCGUGGAGGGAGGGAGGGGACAGCUGCCGCUGGCGUCGCGCGCGCUGCCUGUUUGACGGAAUGCGCAUGCGAGACUGACUCGCAGCGUUGAGCCGCGCAACCCCACACAGAGGGUUUUAGGAAUGGCUGCUGGGGUGGCUGGAGCGAGAGGCUCCGGCCGGCCGCUCAUGCGGCUGGUCACCAUGGCCGGUGCGCCGAUCCUGCAGCAGCUGCACCUGGAGGAACGGCUGCUUCGUCGCACCGGGGAUAACUGGUGCAUCAUCAACGAUGGCACGGCUCCUGCCACCAUCGUCAUGGGCGUGUCGGGGAGAGUUUCGGAGCUUGUUGAGACUGAACCAGUACUCCGGGAUCAGGUCCCAGUUAUAAGGAGGUUUAGUGGAGGUGGCACAGUCAUCGUUGAUCAGGGGACGGUGUUUGUCACUUUCAUAUGCAGCAAGACUGCCAUUGCUGGACUGCAGCCAUUUCCACGGGACAUCAUGUCGUGGACUGGUCAGUUGUAUGGAAAGGUCUUUAAUGGUUUUGGUGAAUUUCAUCUGCGUGAGAAUGACUAUGCAUUUAGUCAUCGAAAGUUUGGGGGCAAUGCUCAAUCCAUAACAAGAGAUCGUUGGGUUCAUCAUACAUCAUUCUUAUGGGAUUAUGAUAUGAAGAAUAUGGAUUAUCUCAAAAUUCCAAACCGUGCACCUGAUUACCGACUGGCGAGGAACCACACAGAUUUCUUGUGUCGCAUGAAGGAGUAUAUGCCAUCGCGAUCUGUUUUCACGGAAGGGAUCAUCUCUGCCCUCAGAGACCACUUCACAGUCCAACCCACAGAAUUGGAAACAGUGAUCUCUGACGACACAGGAUUUAAGCCUUCUACAAAGCUGUUGUCGCCACAAGACCUAGAGGAUAUCAUCUCCACAAAAGAAUCACACAAGGUACAGGAAGUUCAAGCAUGACCGCAACUGCGAAGAUGACUUGUUUUUCUCAUGGUCAUGCCAGACAAGCGGUGUCAUCGAACAGUGAAUUAAGCUUUCAGUUCGGACGACGUUGUGCUCCUCCCUGAAACACUGAAUGAAUUUAUUUGCUCCCAGGAGGACACAAACCACAGCUUCCUUGAAGUGAACUUCCACAUCCAAAGCAUCAUUUGCUCAAAACAACUUAUUGCUAUUCAUUCCGAUUUCGUAAUCUUAACUGGAAAUAAUCAGCUGGAGAACCCGAUGUUCCUCUCUGCUAAUGUUGCCCAUCUCCUCUAACCUGGAACUCUUUUACCCUGUUUAACCUGGUCUUUUUUGGUUACCUAAAUGUCCGAGCAGUCAAGCAGAAGCUCUCUCCCUGUCUGUGACCACCAGCCAUGAGUCCAAAAUGGCAGGCAGCCUGAGCCAGUGAGGUCCUGCUCCAAAUUAUUCCCCUCUACCAAUCCUAAGCAGAGCCCCGUGUUUACGGUCGACCAGGCAGGCCGGGCAUCCGUGUGGCUGCUCUGCUCGAUCUGGAUAUGCUCCGGGGCAGGAGAAAGAGAGUAUGUCCUCCAUCUCAUAGUAUA